CCAUCCGGUCGCGGGAAAUGUGGCGUUCAGGAGUGAGCGUGUCGAGGCCGGAGUCUGCGGCAAGUCCCCCUGACCGGGGCCUGUCCGUAGCGGGUGCGAGGCCCAUAGCCGCCGGGUCCGCCUCGAAUGCGAUCUCCUUGGAGUCGGGUUGCUUGGGAGUGCAGCCCCAAUAGGGUGGUAAACUCCACCUAAGGCUAAAUACCGCCGUGAGACCGAUAGCAAACAAGUACCGUGAGGGAAAGUUGCAAAGAACUUUGAAGAGAGAGUUCAAGAGUACGUGAAACUGCUCAGAGGUAAACGGGUGGGCCCUCGAAAUCCUGUGGCGAGAGGAUUCAGUCUGCGUCGGGCGACGUCCCGGAGGAAGUCGAGGCAGGGCAUCCGCCGAGCGCGGGCCGUCCUCCAGGGCGCCUUUUCGCGCGGCGCAGACGCAUUUGUCUCUCGUCCCGAGGACGCUGCAGCCGGUCUGGAAGUGCAAGCGCGACGGCCUGAGAGCCGGGAGCCGGCAGGUGGCCGGUGGCUCGCCUCGUGCGGGUCGCCGGUUGUUAGCCGUCCCGGCGGUGGCACGUCUCCAGACCGAGGUGUCGCGAGUCCCUCCGGGGACCCGCCGUCUCCACCUCGAAAGUUGCGGGACAGGGCGCGGCCAGGGCGUCCGUCGUCGACCGUCGCACUGCUACGGAGUGGGCGGACGAGRCGGAAUCCCGAAUCGCCGCGACGGACCCGUCGGGGACAGGAGGCUGGCAGCGAGUAGGUCGGUCACCCACCCGACCCGUCUUGAAACACGGACCAAGGAGUCUAACAUGUGCGCGAGUCAAUGGGUCUUGACUAGGCCCAUGGGCGCAAUGAAAGCGAAGGACUCUUUCUCGGAGUCCGAGUGGGGAUCCCCUCUCCCUCGCGGGAGGGGCGCACUCGCGACCCGUCCUGUCCGACUCGUCGGUUGGGCGGAGUCUGAGCGUACACGUUGGGACCCGAAAGAUGGUGAACUAUG
rnacentral:rRNA from 1 species